GCAGCCCGNCGGUNANUNCGGAGGGGUGCAAGCNGUUAAUCGGGAAUUACUGGGGCGUAAAGCGCAUGCAGGGCGGNUCUGNUAAGUCAGAUGUGAAAGCCCCNGGGCUUAACCUGGGAGUGGCAUUUGAGACNGNCAGGCUAGAGUCUUGUAGAGGGGGGUAGAAUUCCAGGUGUAGCGGUGAAAUGCGUAGAGAUCUGGAGGAAUAUCGGUGGCGAAGGCGGCCCCCUGGACAAAGACUGACGNUCAGAUGCGAAAGCGUGGGUAGCAAACAGGAUUAGAUACCCUGGUAGUCCACGCCGUAAACGAUGUCUACUUGAAGGUUGGGAUCUUGAAUUCUGGCCUUCGGAGCUAACGCGUUAAGUAGACCGCCUGGGGAGUACGGUCGCAAGAUUAAAACUCAAAUGAAUUGACGGGGGCCCGCACAAGCGGUGGAGCAUGUGGUUUAAUUCGAUGCAACGCGAAGANCCUUACCUACUCUUGACAUCCAGAGGAGCCAGCAGAGAUGCAGGUGUGCCUUCGGGAACUCUGAGACAGGUNCUGCAUGUCUGUCGUCAGCUCGUGUUGUGAAAUGUUGGGUUAAGUCCCGCAACGAGCGCAACCCUUAUCCUUGUUUGCCAGCACGUAAUGGUGGGAACUCCAGGGAGACUGCCGGUGAUAAACCGGAGGAAGGUGGGGACGACGUCAAGUCAUCAUGGCCCUUACGAGUAGGGCUACACACGUG
rnacentral:rRNA from 1 species